GAUGAACGCUAGCGGCAGGCCUAACACAUGCAAGUCGAGGGGUAGAACACUUCGGUGUUUGAGACCGGCGCACGGGUGCGUAACGCGUAUGCAAUCUACCUUGUACAGGGGAAUAGCCCAGAGAAAUUUGGAUUAAUGCCCCAUAGUAUAUAACCUUCGCAUGUUGGUUAUAUUAAAGUUCCAACGGUACAAGAUGAGCAUGCGUCCCAUUAGUUAGUUGGUAAGGUAACGGCUUACCAAGACGAUGAUGGGUAGGGGUCCUGAGAGGGAGAUCCCCCACACUGGUACUGAGACACGGACCAGACUCCUACGGGGGGCAGCAGUGAGGAAUAUUGGUCAAUGGUCGCAAGACUGAACCAGCCAUGCCGCGUGCAGGAAGACGGUCCUAUGGAUUGUAAACUGCUUUUAUACAGGAAGAAACCCUCCCACGUGUGGGAGCUUGACGGUACUGUAGGAAUAAGGAUCGGCUAACUCCGUGCCAGCAGCCGCGGUAA
rnacentral:rRNA from 1 species